AAACCACAUUAGAUCUUGCGCAAGAAAAAAAAAAACGGGAGACAAAAGGAAGAAACGUACACAGAACAAGCGCUUGUCAGUUCUGUGUAUCUUAUUUUGCCGCCGUUUCUUUACGUGCUACUGAUUUCAUGUCAUGCACCUUUACUAACCUGCCGCGCUUGUUAUAGAGAGACAGAGGAAAAGUCAAAUUUCGGGAGAAAAGGCGGCCACCCUUCUGAGUGCCUGCAUCACUCACUACUUCGUGUUGCAGAAACACUUUUAUAAUACAGAGAAAGGA
rnacentral:lncRNA from 1 species